UGCUCGAGUGGCGAACGGGUGAGUAACACGUGAGCAACCUGCCCUUGACUUUGGGAUAACUUCAGGAAACUGGGGCUAAUACCGGAUAGGAGCUCCUGCUGCAUGGUGGGGGUUGGAAAGUUUCGGCGGUUGGGGAUGGACUCGCGGCUUAUCAGCUUGUUGGUGGGGUAGUGGCUUACCAAGGCUUUGACGGGUAGCCGGCCUGAGAGGGUGACCGGCCACAUUGGGACUGAGAUACGGCCCAG
rnacentral:rRNA from 1 species